rnacentral:rRNA from 1 species
UACGUAGGGUGCAAGCGUUGUCCGGAAUUAUUGGGCGUAAAGAGCUCGUAGGCGGUUUGUCGCGUCUGCUGUGAAAUCUGGGGGCUCAACCCCCAGCCUGCAGUGGGUACGGGCAGACUAGAGUGCGGUAGGGGAGAUUGGAAUUCCUGGUGUAGCGGUGAAAUGCGCAGAUAUCAGGAGGAACACCGGUGGCGAAGGCGGGUCUCUGGGCCGUAACUGACGCUGAGGAGCGAAAGCGUGGGGAGCGAACAGG